rnacentral:rRNA from 1 species
GAUGAACGCUGGCGGCGUGCCUAAUACAUGCAAGUCGAGCGAACAGACGAGGAGCUUGCUCCUCUGACGUUAGCGGCGGACGGGUGAGUAACACGUGGAUAACCUACCUAUAAGACUGGGAUAACUUCGGGAAACCGGAGCUAAUACCGGAUAAUAUAUUGAACCGCAUGGUUCAAUAGUGAAAGACGGUUUUGCUGUCACUUAUAGAUGGAUCCGCGCCGCAUUAGCUAGUUGGUAAGGUAACGGCUUACCAAGGCAACGAUGCGUAGCCGACCUGAGAGGGUGAUCGGCCACACUGGAACUGAGACGCGGUCCAGACUCCUACGGGAGGCAGCAGUAGGGAAUCUUCCGCAAUGGGCGGAAGCCUGACGGAGCAGCGCCGCGUGAGUGAUGAAGGUCUUCGGAUCGUAAAACUCUGUUAUUAGGGAAGAACAAAUGUGUAAGUAACUAUGCACGUCUUGACGGUACCUAAUCAGAAAGCCACGGCUAACUACGUG